UUCAAUUUUAAAACAAGUCAUGUCUAAUGUAUUAUUUUUGUAAUUAGGUUUGUGUUUGUGCUGUGCAAGGAUGGCAGCUGCAGAUAAACACCAGCAGCACCAGCAGCUGUGGAGGGAAGUUACUGGCUAUGAUUUCAUGAGCAGUCCUGGCUCAAGCCAAAGUGAAAGUAAACGCAGACGUUGCAGUCCUGGCUAAAGCCAAAGUGAAAGUAAACGCAGACAUUAAGGCAAAGUGUUUGCUUCUUUGUCCAAUAUGUUGGAACUUUACUGCAUUCGUGGAUGGAUUUCCUUCAUCGGAACAACCUCAGUAAGGAAUAACCUGAUGGAGGCUUAAUUUGCGGAAAACUAUCUGCAGAGGAUUAAAUGGAGUCCUGGUGCUCUUUGGGAGGAACAAGCGUGCGAUGGUUGUCUGUAAAGGAACUACAUAUGAAACUGAGACAGAGACAGGUUUUGGGAAUUCAACAAGUAUACUGUACACUCAGCAAAAAAUAUAUAUGUAUCAACAUGUCUGUAGUCUGAAUGUAUAGUGUUUCACAUCUGUUUUUUUUUUUAUCCAGUUUGUUCGGUCUCGAGUUCGCCAACCACAGAGGAUGAGUUCACACACCACUAGUAAUGUAUAUCUUCAUAAUAUCUUUUUUAUUAUGUAUGAAUGUGUCUAUCUAACCAUUAUUGGCAAUGUUGUUUUUUUUUACCGUUUCAUGUUCACUGUGAACUCAUAAACUGAACAAAAGGUGUUUUUUAUGAGCAGCUAUAAUGUCAAAUGUUUAACAUACAGUAAUGUUGCAUUAACCUGACUUAGUUAAUCAUUAAUUUGUUCAUCACGCCGCUAGUUUGCACCUUGGGGCAAGAAUCUCGGAGUUAAUAUGCAAGUGCAAGCAUCUAAGCAAGGACUAACCGUGUUUGUAAGGCAGAAUUAUUCUAGAAACCUGUAAAACAAGACAAUGAGAGAUGUCAUGUCCUGCUCCUGUGCUUAUGUUAAAAUAUCUGUGUAUUUCAUAAUAAAGUGCAUUUAUGUUAUCUAUUGAA